AUGCUUAACACAUGCAAGUCGAACGGUAACAGGCCUUCGGGCGCUGACGAGUGGCGGACGGGUGAGUAACGCGUAGGAAUCUGCCUUAUAGUGGGGGACAACGUGGGGAAACCCACGCUAAUACCGCAUACGCCCUACGGGGGAAAGGAGGGGAUCUUCGGACCUUUCGCUAUGAGAUGAGCCUGCGUUAGAUUAGCUAGUUGGUAGGGUAAAGGCCUACCAAGGCGACGAUCUAUAGCUGGUCUGAGAGGACGAUCAGCCACACUGGGACUGAGACACGGCCCAGACUCCUACGGGAGGCAGCAGUGGGGAAUAUUGGACAAUGGGCGCAAGCCUGAUCCAGCAAUACCGCGUGUGUGAAGAAGGCCUUCGGGUUGUAAAGCACUUUCAAUUGGGAGGAAAACCUGCCGGUCAAUACCCGGUAGCUUGACAUUACCUUUAGAAGAAGCACCGGCUAACUCCGUGCCAGCAGCCGCGGUAAUACGGAGGGUGCGAGCGUUAAUCGGAAUUACUGGGCGUAAAGCGUGCGUAGGCGGUUCGUUAAGUCAGAUGUGAAAGCCCUGGGCUCAACCUGGGAAACUGCAUUUGAAACUGGCGGACUAGAGUUUAGUAGAGGGGAGUGGAAUUUCAGGUGUAGCGGUGAAAUGCGUAGAUAUCUGAAGAACACCAGUGG
rnacentral:rRNA from 1 species